UACGUAGGGUGCAAGCGUUAAUCGGAAUUACUGGGCGUAAAGCGUGCGCAGGCGGUUAUGCAAGACAGAUGUGAAAUCCCCGGGCUUAACCUGGGAACCGCAUUUGUGGCUGCAUGGCUGGAGUACGGCAGAGGGGGAUGGAAUUCCGCGUGUAGCAGUGAAAUGCGUAGAUAUGCGGAGGAACACCGAUGGCGAAGGCAGUCCCCUGGGCCUAUACUGACGCUCAUGCACGAAAGCGUGGGGAGCAAACAGG
rnacentral:rRNA from 1 species